UACCAGCGCCCCGAGUGGUCUGGACGAUUAUUGGGCCUAAAGCAUCCGUAGCCGGUUCUACAAGUCUUCCGUUAAAUCCACCUGCUUAACAGAUGGGCUGCGGAGGAUACUAUAGAGCUAGGAGGCGGGAGAGGCAAGCGGUACUUAGUGGGUAGGGGUAAAAUCCGUUGAUCCAUUGAAGACCACCAGUGGCGAAGGCGGCUUGCCAGAACGCACUCGACGGUGAGGGAUGAAAGCUGGGGGAGCAAACCGG
rnacentral:rRNA from 1 species